rnacentral:rRNA from 1 species
UGGGGGAUAUUGCACAAUGGAGGAAACUCUGAUGCAGCGACGCCGCGUGAGUGAAGAAGGCCUUCGGGUCGUAAAGCUCUGUCCUAGGGGAAGAUAAUGACGGUACCCUAGGAGGAAGCCCCGGCUAACUACGUGCCAGCAGCCGCGGUAAUACGUAGGGGGCGAGCGUUGUCCGGAAUCACUGGGCGUAAAGAGUUCGUAGGCGGUCUGAUAAGUCAGAUGUGAAAGGCGUAGGCUUAACCUAUGUAGGCAUAUGAAACUGUCAGACUUGAGGUAAGGAGAGGAAAGUGGAAUUCCUAGUGUAGCGGUGAAAUGCGUAGAUAUUAGGAGGAGUACCAGUGGCGAAGGCGACUUUCUGGACUUAAACUGACGCUGAGGAACGAAAGCGUGGGGAGCAAACAG